GCAAUGGACGAAAGUCUGACCGAGCAACGCCGCGUGAGUGAAGAAGGUUUUCGGAUCGUAAAGCUCUGUUGUAAGUCAAGAACGUGUGUGAGAGUGGAAAGUUCACACAGUGACGGUAGCUUACCAGAAAGGGACGGCUAACUACGUGCCAGCAGCCGCGGUAAUACGUAGGUCCCGAGCGUUGUCCGGAUUUAUUGGGCGUAAAGGGAGCGCAGGCGGUCAGGAAAGUCUGGAGUGAAAGGCUAUGGCUCAACCAUAGUGUGCUCUGGAAACUGUCUGACUUGAGUGCAGAAGGGGAGAGUGGAAUUCCAUGUGUAGCGGUGAAAUGCGUAGAUAUAUGGAGGAACACCAGUGGCGAAAGCGGCUCUCUGGUCUGUCACUGACGCUGAGGCUCGAAAGCGUGGGUAGCGAACAGGAUUAGAUACCCUGGUAGUCCACGCCGUAAACGAUGAGUGCUAGGUGUUAGGCCCUUUCCGGGGCUUAGUGCCGGAGCUAACGCAAUAAGCACUCCGCCUGGGGAGUACGACCGCAAGGUUGAAACUCAAAGGAAUUGACGGGGGCCCGCACAAGCGGUGGAGCAUGUGGUUUAAUUCGAAGCAACGCGAAGAACCUUAC
rnacentral:rRNA from 1 species